rnacentral:rRNA from 1 species
CGAGUCAUUGUAGCAUACAAGGCAUACGGCUCAGUAACGCGUAGUCCACCUAACCUAUGGACGGGAAUAACCUCGGGAAACUGAGAAUAAUGCCCGAUAGAACAUUAUGCCUGGAAUGGUUUAUGUUCCAAAUGAUUUAUCGCCGUAGGAUGGGACUGCGGCCUAUCAGUUUGUUGGUGAGGUAAUGGCCCACCAAGACUAUUACAGGUACGGGCUCUGAGAGGAGUAGCCCGGAGAUGGGUACUGAGACACGGACCCAGGCCCUAUGGGGCGCAGCAGGCGAGAAAACUUUGCAAUGUGCGAAAGCACGACAAGGUUAAUCCGAGUGGUUUCUGCUAAAGAAACCUUUUGUCAGUCCUAGAAACACUGAUGAAUAAGGGGUGGACAAGUUCUGGUGUCAGCCGCCGCGGUAAAACCAGCACCUCAAGUGGUCAGGAUGAUUAUUGGGCCUAAAGCAUCCGUAGCCGGCUCUGUAAGUUUUCGGUUAAAUCUGUACGCUCAACGUACAGGCUGCCGGGAAUACUGCAGAGCUAGGGAGUGGGAGAGGUAGACGGUACUCGGUAGGAAGGGGUAAAAUCCUUUGAUCUAUUGAUGACCACCUGUGGCGAAGGCGGUCUACCAGAACACGUCCGACGGUGAGGGAUGAAAGCUGGGGGAGCAAACCGGAUUAGAUACCCGGGUAGUCCCAGCUGUAAACUAUGCAAACUCAGUGAUGCAUUGGCUUGUGGCCAAUGCAGUGCUGCAGGGAAGCCGUUAAGUUUGCCGCCUGGGAAGUACGUACGCAAGUAUGAAACUCAAAGGAAUUG